rnacentral:other from 2 species
CGGGUGCUGCCGAAUUCGUUAGGAAUAUCAUUGCUCGGGGCCUUACGGUUCUCUAGGGAACUGUCCCUGCGGCGGGUCGUGGCCUGCUGCACACGGUGCCCACCUACUCUUGUAGGUCUCCGAGAAUCCACAUUCCGACGGUUCGGUGGGCCCACA